CGCCGCGUGAGUGAGGAAGGCUUCGGGUCGUAAAGCUCUGUCAGAAGGGAAGAAGUGUUAUAUGGUUAACACCCAUAUAAUUUGACGGUACCUUCAGAGGAAGCACCGGCUAACUCCGUGCCAGCAGCCGCGGUAAUACGGAGGGUGCUAGCGUUGUUCGGAAUUACUGGGCGUAAAGGGCGCGUAGGCGGCUGGAUAAGUCAGAUGUGAAAGUCCACAGCUCAACUGUGGAAGUGCAUUUGAAACUGUCCGGCUUGAGUAUCGGAGGGGAGUGUGGAAUUCCCGGUGUAGAGGUGAAAUUCGUAGAGAUCGGGAGGAACACCGGUGGCGAAGCGACACUCUGGACGAAUACUGACGCUGAGGCGCGAAACGUGGGGAGCAAACAGGAUUAGAUACCUGGUAGUCCCGCCGUAACGAUGUGA
rnacentral:rRNA from 1 species